rnacentral:lncRNA from 1 species
AAAUGUUCCUCACUUAAGGCUUACUGCUUUCGAACCACUGUUGAUAUUCCUUUUAAAUGAAAUCGAUUGCUUAAAAUUAAUGUGUUUAUAUGUUUAAGAAAAUGUCAUUUUGAUUAAAACUUUAAUUUUCAAAAUGAUCAUAAUAAAAUUUAAAACUAUUUGGCUAAAUUAAAUAAGAGUAGAAACAAUUGGAUAAAAGCUCAACUUUAU